CCUACGGGUGGCUGCAGUCGAGAAUUUUUCUCAAUGGGGGAAACCCUGAAGGAGCGACGCCGCGUGGAGGAUGAAGGUCUUCGGAUUGUAAACUCCUGUCAUUAGGGAACAAUGUGCAGUCGUUAACUGCGAUUGCAUUGAUAGUACCUGAAGAGGAAGAGACGGCUAACUCUGUGCCAGCAGCCGCGGUAAUACAGAGGUCUCAAGCGUUGUUCGGAUUCAUUGGGCGUAAAGGGUGCGUAGGCGGUGGGGUGAGUCAGGUGUGAAAUCUCGGG
rnacentral:rRNA from 1 species